UGUUUCGGCUAGGGGGUCAUCCCGACUUACCAACCCGAUGCAAACUACGAAUACCGAAGAAUGUUAUCACGGGAGACACACGGCGGGUGCUAACGUCCGUCGUGAAGAGGGAAACAACCCAGACCGCCAGCUAAGGUCCCAAAGUCACAGUUAAGUGGGAAACGAUGUGGGAAGGCACAGACAGCCAGGAUGUUGGCUUAGAAGCAGCCAUCAUUUAAAGAAAGCGUAAUAGCUCACUGGUCGAGUCGGCCUGCGCGGAAGAUGUAACGGGGCUAAACUGUGCACCGAAGCUGCGGCAGCGACACUAUGUGUUGUUGGGUAGGGGAGCGUUCUGUAAGCCUGCGAAGGUGGCCUGUGAGGGUUGCUGGAGGUAUCAGAAGUGCGAAUGCUGACAUAAGUAACGAUAAUGCGGGUGAAAAGCCCGCACGCCGGAAGACCAAGGGUUCCUGUCCAACGUUAAUCGGGGCAGGGUGAGUCGACCCCUAAGGCGAGGCCGAAAGGCGUAGUCGAUGGGAAACAGGUUAAUAUUCCUGUACUUGGUGUUACUGCGAAGGGGGGACGGAGAAGGCUAUGUUAGCCGGGCGACGGUUGUCCCGGUUUAAGCAUGUAGGCGGAGGUUCCAGGUAAAUCCGGUACCUUUUAACGCUGAGGUGUGAUGACGAGGCACUACGGUGCUGAAGUAACAAAUGCCCUGCUUCCAGGAAAAGC
rnacentral:rRNA from 1 species